rnacentral:rRNA from 1 species
UACGGAGGGGGCUAGCGUUGUUCGGAAUUACUGGGCGUAAAGCGCGCGUAGGCGGCUUUGUAAGUUAGAGGUGAAAGCCUGGAGCUCAACUCCAGAACUGCCUUUAAAAACUGCAUCGCUUGAAUCCAGGAGAGGUGAGUGGAAUUCCGAGUGUAGAGGUGAAAUUCGUAGAUAUUCGGAAGAACACCAGUGGCGAAGGCGGCUCACUGGACUGGUAUUGACGCUGAUGUGCGAAAGCGUGGGGAGCAAACAGGG